rnacentral:snRNA from 1 species
AUGCUCACCUGGGCAGCAUGUCUACUAAAAGCAGAAUAAUGGAGAAGAUCAGCAUGGCUCCUGUGCAAGGAUGACUUGCAAACAUACACCACACACAC